rnacentral:rRNA from 2 species
UGUGUAGCGGUGAAAUGCGUAGAUAUAUGGAAGAACACCAGUGGCGAAGGCGGCUGUCUGGUCUGUAACUGACGCUGAGGCUCGAAAGUAUGGGUAGCAAACAGGAUUAGAUACCCUGGUAGUCCAUACCGUAAACGAUGAAUGCUAAGUGUUGGAGGGUUUCCGCCCUUCAGUGCUGCAGCUAACGCAUUAAGCAUUCCGCCUGGGGAGUACGGCCGCAAGGCUGAAACUCAAAGGAAUUGACGGGGGCCCGCACAAGCGGUGGAGCAUGUGGUUUAAUUCGAAGCUACGCGAAGAACCUUACCAGGUCUUGACAUACUAUGCAAAUCUAAGAGAUUAGACGUUCCCUUCGGGGACAUGGAUACAGGUGGUGCAUGGUUGUCGUCAGCUCGUGUCGUGAGAUGUUGGGUUAAGUCCCGCAACGAGCGCAACCCUUAUUAUCAGUUGCCAGCAUUAAGUUGGGCACUCUGGUGAGACUGCCGGUGACAAACCGGAGGAAGGUGGGGAUGACGUCAAAUCAUCAUGCCCCUUAUGACCUGGGCUACACACGUGCUACAAUGGAUGGUACAACGAGUUGCGAACUCGCGAGAGUAAGCUAAUCUCUUAAAGCCAUUCUCAGUUCGGAUUGUAGGCUGCAAC